GUGGAGCGAGCCGAUGGUAUUUUAAGGACAAAAUGGGGAAAAUCGUGCGUUGGUUGUCACCGGUGCUCAGGACAGGAGAGGACGUUCAUUUAAGGCUUGCUUGAGAGGCCGCGUGGCGUUGGCGGAGGCGCGAUCUGGAGUACGCAUCACAAGCGGAGCAGCGGGGAAGAGUACCGCCUGCCAAAGUGACACAAAAGUGACUGACCACUCAGAUGGAAAUGGUGCAUGUGACAAAACAGUGCUAUUAACAUAAUAAAGGAAUUCCACUUACAAAAAAAAAAACCUGAACAUCUGCUAGGUUGGGCGAGAG